rnacentral:misc_RNA from 1 species
CUCACUUCGUCGCUUGAGGGCGCAGGAUUGUGUCCAAGUGCCCACCGCACAAUGAGUGGUGCGGUUUUUGCCAACAAGUAGGAACGGCGGGCGUGCGGUACUAGUAUACUACGCGUGAUGCAUCGGGAGGAUAGUGUCUCCCGUGAAGAUCAAUGCAUACACCUACCUGACCAGUGUACCUGCCGGCGUCUGCACUUAGUGCGUAAAAACAAAAAAAUGUCUCUGCAGUCCUUGAAAUCUGCCAACAGACUUAAGAUGCGACAAGUGGCUUGUCUUACGUCAAGUUGGAUCGUUCCAGUCAGACAUCGAACCCGCAUAAAUCCACCCAAAGCGACAAAAAAAGGUCGUUUGUUACUCAAGGACCAAAAAAGGCUCAAACUGAAGGAGGAAUAUAAGCAAGACCCUCAAAAGAUGCUAACAGAAACAUUGAAGAAAUCUGGCAUUAAACUGUGCCCCCCCUUCACGGAACGUGCUGUCACAAUAACUUGUACAGGGGAUAUAUUUGAGCCGUAUGUCCCUCCUGAAGGAGAUGGCAAAGCUAUGUCUCUUACACCAGAGGGAGCUAAGCAGCGAUUGGAAAGAGCCAAAAAUAUAGGUGUGACUCAGUUGCAUCAACGUAAAAUUCGCCAGUUUGAACCAGAAUUCACUGCCUCAGAAUUUGCCUGGAAAGCCCAGAAGAUCUUCAUUGAUGCCCAUAAUGCAUUGCAAGACUUUGACAAGAACAUUCUUCAUCGCUUGGUGACAGAGAGAGCUUAUCCAGAAAUGACGAAAGGCUUCCAGUUCAAAACCAUCCGAUGGAAGUUUCUGGAAUCAAUUGAAAAGCCAAGAGUUGUUCAUAUGCGAACCACAGAUAUGAUUGAUAAAGGCAACUUGUAUGGUCAAGUUACAGUUAGAUUCCAUUCCACACAGUAGCUCAACUCCUGUCAGAUUCAACCAAGGCUUCUUUGGGAGUUAAACUGUUUGAAUCCCAUUCCAGUCCUCUCACGAGAAUUCAAGUUUCUCUACAUCAUUCAAGUCAGAUGAACUCUUGAGCCUCGACCCUGUCACUCUGGCAGUGAGGAGUCCUCACUCAGACACUUGCCAUAUAUGAUCGUUUUGGACGUCUGAUGCUUGGAAGUGAAGAUAUUCCCAAAGAUGUGUUGGAGUAUGUCGUGUUUGAGAAGCAUCUGUCAGGGUUGUAUGGAUCAUGGCGUAUUCAUGGCAAAAUAGUACCAGCUUGGGCAGCAUCACUGGAACCAAUUGUCAAAACAGUGAUAAUACAAGCCAGUGAAGACACAGAACUUACGAUGCAAGACAGGUAAAAAGCAAUCAAAGGUGAAAUAACAAGUAGACACAAAUGAUAAUCAGUAUCGCACCUUCAAUACCACCAUCCCUUUGUUGCAUAUGUUGAUCAGACUCCUGUAUUGAGAUCCUUGAGCUACAACAAAUUACAUGAUUUGGUUCAUAUCUGAAAAGAUGUAACAGUGACAGUUUUUUGGAACAAAAAUGGCAAAGCAAAAGCAACAUGUUUCCCUUUUGGUAUUGAAAUUAUUAGCAUCGGUUGAAAGUUUACAUUAACUUUGGGGCAGCCAUGAUAUGGAAUUCUGCACUUUUUGCAGGAAUGAGUGUUAUGAGUAUCAUUAGGUUAUUGAGUAUGUACAGUAUUUUAGCAGUUUACAAUUAGAAAGCUACUAUGGACAAAGGUUUAUCAAUAGAGCCUGAAAGCUUACUCUUGAUGUCAAGCUUCUGGAACCCUUGAAUAAAAAAUAAAAUAAUGCA